UAGGGAAUAUUAGAAAUGGACGAAAGUCUGAUCUAGCAACACCGCGUGUGCGAAGAAGGCCUUCGGGUUGUAAAGCACUUUUUGGAAGGAUUAGGAAGGAAUGUACUUCCAGAAUAAGUCUCGGCUAACUACGUGCCAGCAGCCGCGGUAACACGUAGGAGGCAAACGUUAUCCGGAUUUACUGGGCGUAAAGCGCGUGUAGGUGGUUCUGUAAGUAGGGCGUGAAAGCUCCUGGCUCAACUGGGAGAGGCCGUUCUAAACUGCAGAGCUAGAGGAUGGUAGAGGGAGGUGGAAUUCCGGGUGUAGCGGUGAAAUGCGUAGAUAUUAGGAGGAACACCAGUGGCGAAGGCGGCUUUCUGGACUGUAACUGACACUGAGGCACGAAAGCGUGGGGAGCAAACA
rnacentral:rRNA from 1 species